rnacentral:rRNA from 1 species
UACGGGGGGGGGCAAGCGUUGUUCGGAAUUACUGGGCGUAAAGGGCUCGUAGGCGGCCAACUAAGUCAGACGUGAAAUCCCUCGGCUUAACUGGGGAACUGCGUCUGAUACUGGAUGGCUUGGAUCCGGAAGAGGGAUGCGGAAUUCCAGGUGUAGCGGUGAAAUGCGUAGAUAUCUGGAGGAACACCGGUGGCGAAGGCGGCAUCCUGGGCCGGUAUUGACGCUGAGGAGCGAAAGCCAGGGGAGCAAACGGG